GACGAACGCUGGCGGCGUGCUUAACACAUGCAAGUCGAACGGAAAGGCCCUGCUUUUGUGGGGUGCUCGAGUGGCGAACGGGUGAGUAACACGUGAGUAACCUGCCCUUGACUUUGGGAUAACUUCAGGAAACUGGGGCUAAUACCGGAUAGGAGCGCCUGCCGCAUGGUGGGGGUUGGAAAGUUUCGGCGGUUGGGGAUGGACUCGCGGCUUAUCAGCUUGUUGGUGGGGUAGUGGCUUACCAAGGCUUUGACGGGUAGCCGGCCUGAGAGGGUGACCGGCCAAAUUGGGACUGAGAUACGGCCCAGACUCCUACGGGGGGCAGCAGUGGGGAAUAUUGAACAAUGGGCGGAAGCCUGAUGCAGCAACGCCGCGUGCGGGAUGACGGCCUUCGGGUUGUAAACCGCUUUCGCCUGUGACGAAGCGUGAGUGACGGUAAUGGGUAAAGAAGCACCGGCUAACUACGUG
rnacentral:rRNA from 1 species